CAUUAGAUGACUGAAAGCAAGUACUGGUCU
rnacentral:ncRNA from 3 species